AAAUGCCGAGAUGUUUUAAAAGUUAAAAUUUUGACAAUUCCCUUUUGAAGUAGGAGGAGAUCUUUAGCAAAUAGCAACUAAUAUGCUAUUGGUUACUUGUGACAGAUCAAAAGCCUUCAUGAGUGGAUGCUUACUGUUCUUUUCUUCGGGGGUUUGAUUUUCAGAUAAUUAUUUCAUAUUUUUAGCAGGUUUUGGUCGGCUGCUUUCUUGUCCGUUUCUUGUAUUUUCCCUCUCCAUACUUUCUUUAAAAAGGAGAAAGCAUCUGUUUUGCGAUUCAUGUAGCUUAUAUGUCGAUAUCAAUGCCUAAGAUGACAGGAAUGAUUGGCAUUCUCCACAAAUUGGCAUCUUAUCUAUAAUGGAAUAACUAUAUUGAACAUUUAUGUAUAAUCCGAUCGACGAUCACAUUAAACGAAUUAAAAAUUCAGAAACGACAUGAUAAAAUUUCAGAUACCAUUUGUAUUAGUUUUUUUUUCUUCGUUCGAGAAAGUAUUAGUCAUGAUGGACGGACCGGACCAUCUCGGCAAAUCGUGAUGUACGGGAUUGACCCAAUCCAACAGCGACCGGUCGAGCCCCGCGUCCCAGUCGUGGCGGUGACGCGUUGUCCAAGUCGCGUGGGGGGGACGAAAUACUCCUCCCUUUGAUCAGGUCAAAUUUGCGGACACAUGGGAGAUGGGGCCUCCCCCGCAAUGACUCAGUCGGUACCUUCUCCGACGACGGAUCCCCCCGCCGUGCCCGAUGCACACGUGGACGGCCGGGAUUGGCUGGGGGGCGGGGCCAUGCAUGCGGGUCGCCUCCUCCGCGGGUACCACUGGGGGCAAAGAAAAAGGGGAGGAUCCGGAAGUUGUACCUGCUUUUCUUUAAAUUUUCUUUGUAUCGAAGUUGUUAGCUUUCAUAAUCACGCUUUGAGCUCGAUUUUCACGCUCUAACCUCGUGGAACAGUGCGAGUGCUCCCUCUCUCUCUCUCUCUCUAGGACCAGUGGAAGCGCAAGUUGUCUUCUUGUUUCGAUCCUUAUCUCCUCGCAUGCUCGAGAUCACUCAUUGCGUUGUGGGUUUUGUAAGAAUUCUUCCACCGCGUUUCGUCUUCUUGUUCUUGUUCUCUGUUUCAUUGGUCUCCUCAGCGAAGAUUCGGGGAAGCGAUUUCCCUCUCGCGUUUCGGUGUUGUUCGGCGUGAUUUGAUGGCCAUUUUCCCGUCUGGUUCUUCCAGGAAGCGCUCUCUUUUGUAGCUUCUUACAAUGGGUGACUCGUUUCUUUUCCGCUCGUUGAAUCGGACUGGGUUUUGUUCUCUUCAGUUUAGGGCUAGGGUUUGGUAGUUUUGUGAUCUGGAGAUCGUUAAGAGUUUGCUUUCGCGGACGCAUUUCAUUUUCUGUGUGGUUGUCCUUGUUUUGUUUCGGGGAAGUUUUGUGUUCGGAUUAAGUUUGUUGCUCCUCAUUGAGGGAGAGGGAUUUUACUUUUCCCUGAGUUCAUUUGAGUUUAGUUGAACUUACUCAUGCUUUACUGAAUUCACAUGCUCACUGCCCUAGCUGGCACGAGUACCUAUUUAUUUUUGAAAUAUACUCCCUUUUGGAUCUUUAGGCUCGCUGGCUUUCGGUGUAGUCUCACGGGUUUUGGAUAAUUUUCUUUGUUUAAAGGGUGUGGUUCCUACGCUGUUGCUCCCCAUGUUGUUCUCACUAGAUGCGGAUGCGUCAUGAUUAAGUCAUAAAUGCCACUUAGGUUUUGGUUUUGUAGUCUAUUCUUCUGAUGAUAAUUUAUGGGCAUGCAAUAUGUUCUUUCCUUUCCUUUUGAUUAUUUCUUUUGAAGAUCUUGAGUUGCGAGAUUUCAGUGCUGUUUUUGCUCUUUUUACUCACGUCUGUGCUGAUUCCUUGGAAAAAUAUGCCUAGUAAGAUUCAACCUUCGAAGCUGUCCGUCUCUUGUUGUGUUUAAAAGUGAGUAUGGGGACAUUUUUCCUGGCUUAGAGCAAUCUGUGCUUCUGGAGAUUUUAGUUGAGACCCUUUUUUAAAUAAGGCAAACAAAUUUCAAUGGCUAUGUCAUGUUUAAAUGUUCUGAAAUAUUGCUUAUAUCCUUCUAAUUUGAGUUAAGGAAUACUAUAACAAUAAUCCAAGACAGUACUCUUGUUGGUGAGGAUUGGAUUGGCUAUUGAAUUUCAGUCAUGUAAUGUGCAAUGCUCCAUAGAUUAUGGUCAAAGAUUUAUACAGGCAUGCCAUUAGUAGAAUUCGCCUCUGAGCUUUUCUUUUUGCAGAUUUGGGCCUCUAGGUGAUAUCGUUGCUUGACAACGAGAGAGAGCACGCUAGUUAGCAUCCAUAAAAGGGACAUGGCUGUGUACAAGCGUGCUCUCUAUCGUUGUCAUACAAUAUGCAUUUGAGGCUUUGUUCCCAAUCUGUGACAUAAGCGGAUGGUAACCUUGAAUUAUUUGUCUCAAGUGUAAUAUUUUAAUGCAUGACAUUGAUGAGUUGUGAAGGCUUGUGUCAUGCAUAUAUGAUGCAAGUGGGUUGAGUCUCCUUUUACACAUAGCUUGGAGGUUCCUGUUGAUGCCUUGUGUAGCUCUCGUUUUUCUGCUGGCCGGUGUUUUGGCCUUUGUCUUUGUAUAGCGCACUUGUUGCUUCCUUGCUUUGCUUAGCCGCAACACCUUUGCACCCAUCAGGACACACUUAUGUGUCACCUUAGGUACAAGGUUUUUGUGUUCGGCUACUCUCUCUAUAUGUUGCUCUCUUUGUAUGUUGCGCGUUGAAAAGUUAAUAUACUUCUUACCUUACUAUAUAAAAAAAAAUUGAAUAUAGGUUAUUGCGGUUGAAUUAUAAAUAAAGUAUUGCACUUGACUUAUAUGUAUAUAUUUUUGUUUGACAUGAACCACAACUCUCUUGGUGUCUUUUUUCUCACAUGCGAUGCUCCUUUUAACUGUGACCGUAGGGGCUGUCUAGCUCGAGAAGUGUUUUUAGUUCCCAAUUCCAUAGGAAAUGAAAUGAAAACAAUUUUCCGCUUCCAUUUCCAAAUUUUUUUAAAAGAUGUUAGGUAAGCCAAAAUGAGAAUUCUUGGUGGAAAGCACAAUUUUGAAAAUAUCUUUUGUGCUUCACUAAGAUAGUUUUUUUUUUCCUAUUUUGACCAAAAGGUUAAGUUUUUUUUUGUCAUAUAUAGAAUUCGAGAAAGUUUUAGAGAAGGUUCAUGUUCUUUACCAAUUCUCUGUGUGAGUAAAGUUUCUGGAGCUCACUUUUUUCCUCUCCUCAACACCAUUAAGCUUUUCAUUGUAGCUCUGGGAGGGGGGUUGAGGUGCUGCCUUCUCUCAAGCUAUCUGGAAGAUCCCUUGUUUUAUGCUUGGAUCCAUUCUUUGAAGAAGACAUUAUGAAAAGAAUGUCUUUCAGUCCAUGAUACUGUGUUCUCAUUUUGGACCUGGAAACACCAAAGUGUUUUCAGUCCAUGAUACUGUUUUCACUUUUGUGCCUAAUAGUCGAUAACAAGCUGACCGUGUUUCCAUUCGAAAAAUUUUCCGUGAUCCCGCCAAACAAAGUUGCUAGUGGCCUUUUCAUUCUCAGUGAAAUGAAAGUGUAGCUUCGAAAUUGCCUAUCAAGCAAACAAUCCCUGAAAUCCUGCCAUUUUCUUUUCUUUUCUUUUAUAGUUUUCUUUUGCUAGGAAUGGUGAGUCAUAGUUGUGAGUAGAAUCCUAGAACAUUUUUAUGCCAGAAGUGUAGUUCUACUUUUUGGGGGCCUUUUUUGGUCCACUCCAUGUAACUAUAUCUUGUAGAGAAUGAAAUUGUACUAUACGUAAAAAAUGUAAAGCUCAUGCAUUGAAGCAAAAUACUUCUUUCUACAAUAAAGACUGUGGUAUUUUUAGUUUUUA